UUAUAAAAAUUUCAUACAUUUGUAUUGUUAAAAACUGAUAUAGUUGAUGGAAUAACCAAACAAUGACACAUGGCAUGUUACAUGUACCUCAUGUUGACUUGCAUGGAACAACUUUUAACAGUAAAAAUGGUUAAAAUAUUUAA
rfam:Gossypium hirsutum cultivar TM-1 unplaced genomic scaffold scaffold755.1, whole genome shotgun sequence